rnacentral:rRNA from 1 species
GUAGUUAGCCGUGGCUUCCUCCUUAGGUACCGUCAUUAUCGUCCCUAAAGACAGAGCUUUACAAUCCGAAGACCGUCAUCACUCACGCGGCGUUGCUGCAUCAGGGUUUCCCCCAUUGUGCAAUAUUCCCCACUGCUGCCUCCCGUAGGAGUCUGGACCGUGUCUCAGUUCCAGUGUGGCCGAUCAGCCUCUCAGCUCGGCUACCCAUCGUUGGCUAGGUGGGCCGUUACCCCGCCUACUACCUAAUGGGACGCGAACCCCUCCUUCUGCGGAUUGCUCCUUUGACCCCUGAGCCAUGCGACUCUGUGGUCUUAUGCGGUAUUAGCACUUGUUUCCAGGUGUUAUCCCCCUCAAAAGGGCAGGUUGUUCACGCGUUACUCACCCGUUCGCCACUAGCUAUAAAUCCGAAAACCUAUAGCCCGUUCGACUUGCAUGUGUUAGGCACGCCGCCAGCGUUCGUCCUGAGCACGANACAACUACUGA